rnacentral:rRNA from 1 species
UGCUUCUAUCAAUCUUAGUGGCGACGGGUGAGUAACGCGUAAUCAACCUGCCCUUCAAGGGGGACAACAGUUGGAAACGGACUGCUAAUCCGCAUACGAUUGACCCGGCAUCGAGGAUAGAUGAAAGGUGGCCUCUACAUGUAAGCUAUCACUGAAGGAGGGGAUUGCGUCUGAUUAGCUAGUUGGAGGGGUAACGGCCCACCAAGGCGAUGAUCAGUAGCCGGUCUGAGAGGAUGAACGGCCACAUUGGGACUGAGACACGGCCCAGACUCCUACGGGAGGCAGCAGUGGGGAAUCUUCCGCAAUGGACGAAAGUCUGACGGAGCAACGCCGCGUGAGUGAUGACGGCCUUCGGGUUGUAAAGCUCUGUUAAUCGGGACGAAAGGCCUUCUUGCGAAUAGUGAGAAGGAUUGACGGUACCGGAAGGAAAUUCCGCGGCU